AGUAUUAAUACCAAUUACAUUUUUCUUCUACACUGUGGAGAAUUAUUAUGCAGACUAACAACAUGCAUGCAUGUUAAAGACACACAACAAAUGCAAAUAAUACAAAGAAAAUGCAGUUCUCUAGAGAGAAUGACUGUUUUCUACAUCCUCUAGCUUGACUCCUGUGUGCAACAUAAACUUUUUCUCUGUUGUGCCCAUGAGAAUACCUUAAAACUUGGGUGAUCAUAUAAUUCAUGGUCAAGUCAGGACAGUCUUUGUGAAUGAAAGGAGAACUGUUAAUAAUUACACCGGGGCCGAGUACAGUGGCUCACCUCUGUAAUCCUAGCACUUGUGAGGCUAAGGUGAGAGGAUAGGAUAGCCUGAGGCCACAAGUUUGAGGCCAGCCUGAGCAACAUAGCAAGACGCUUGUCUCUGCAAGAAGCAAAACAAAACAAAAAACUUGCCAGGUGCGGUAGUGUGUGCUGGUAGUCCCAGCUACUAGGGAGACUGAGGUGGGAGGAUUGCUUCAGCCUAGGAGUUCUGGGCUGUAGUGUGCUCUGCCGAUCAGGUGUCUGCACUAAGUUUGGCAUCAAAAUGGUGACCUCCAAGGAGCAGGGGACCACCAAGUUGUCUAAGGAAGGGAGAAGCAGCCCAGGUCAGAAACAGAGCAGGUCAAAACUUCUGAGCUAGUUAGUAGUGAGAUCGUGCCUGUGAAUAACCAUGGCACUACAGCCUGGACAACAUAGCAAGAUUGCAUCUCUGAAAAAUAAAAAAGUAAAAAGUAAAUACCUAGUCGGGUGUGACAGAUGCUUGUUGUCCAAGCUACUGGGGAGGCUGAGGUGGGAGGAUGGCUUGAGCCUAGGAGAUUGAGGUUGCGGUGUGCCAUGGUCAUGCCACUGCACUCUAGUCUGAAUGACAGAACGAGACUCUCUCUAAAAAUUAAUUAAUAAUUACAUUGGUAUAAUAGCUGAAACUGGAAUUGUCUGGGGCAAAGUGAGAUGUUAUGGAAUUUGAAAAAUUAACAUGCCUUUACAUAUUUUGCUCUCACCCUGUUUUUGCCAGAUCCUAAACUGUGAAGUCUUCUCUUACUCCUUUCCCUAGCUUUAAAAAAUGUUACAUUUUUCUAAAAUGUGAUAUAUUCUUGUCAUUUAAAAAAGCCACAUUUUGUUUUCACCACACACAAGAAAGGUUACCUGUGAGACAAUGAAAGUGUUAAUUAGCUUGAUAGUGGUGAUCACUUGGUAAGGUAUACAUAUAUCUGAUCAUCUCAUUGUACACCUGAAAUAUAUACAAGUUUUAUUUGUCAAUUAUAGCUCAAUAAAACUAGGGGGGAACCCCAUAUCUAGCAUGAGGCAGGUAUCUUGUACAUUACUUAAUUUUCCUGACUUGCUGAAGGACCCUUCCAGAAACUUUUGUGCAAUCUACCUUGACAGUCACUAGACUGUGUGUACCUUUGAGCAAAUACUGCCCCUAUUCACCCUGUAUCUCAGAGUGCUGGGCACAGAGAUGGUACUCAACUACAUUUGUUGAAUGAGGGAAACACCAUAUGUGAGAAGGAGACAAAUUUCACCUCCUUUAUUAAUUGGAUGUGCUAAUCUACUUUAGAAUGUUUCCUUCUUCUCUCUUGAUUGACAUGUGGAAUUACAUAUUUUUUCCUGCUAUUGCCUUAGUAGCCUCUUCUGGUACCUGUGAUAAUAUGAUAGCAUGUGACUCAUCCUUCUGACCAAAGCUGUGACGACUCUGUGGGCCUUAUAACAAAGAGGGUGUGAGCUUCACAUUAAAUGUGAUUCGAAGCUUCUAGAUUCCACAUAUGUAUUCAGCUAUGGAAGUACCUCCUAAACAUGGACAGAAGUGCCUUGACACGUCAGAUGAGAUUACAGAUCAGAUUCCACGCAGGAUCAAGAUGGGGGUCUUGUGCUGUUUCCCAGGCUGGAGUCGUGCGAUCUCAGCUCACUGCAAUUUCUGCCUUCUGGUUCAAGUGAUUCUCCUGCCUCAGCCUCCUGAGUAGCUGGGAUUACAGGCAUGUGCCACCAUGCCCAGAUAAUUUUUGUAUUUUUAGUAGAGACAGGUUUUCGCUGUGUUGACCAGGCUGGUCUUAAACUCCUGAUCUCAGAUGAUCCACCUGCUCUCGACCUCCCAAAGUGCUGGGAAAACAGGUGUGAUCCACCGCACCUGACCCUUUGUGGUUUUAUUUAAGAGACAAAUCUAGCAUAUAUUUUAGAGUUUAGUAUAAUAUAUGAUGGUUCAGAAUGUCAGUGCCAAAAAAGUGACCCAGAUAGUAUGAGCUAUAGGAGUUCCCAGAAAGGUGAACAUAGCAGGGGAGGUUACCAGGAGAAAGUGGGACUUGAGCAGGAUCCUGAAAUAUGGGGGCUUUUAGCAGGAAUGGAACAGAGAGAAAGGACCUCAAAACAAACAAACACAGAAUAAGCAAAGGCAGAAAGUCAUACAUGAUAAUACUGUUUAUAGAAGAGAGUGAGGAGAUUAUCCUGGCUAGAGGGAAGGUACCAUAUUUGGAGUUAUUAGGAAUAAAUAUCAAAUUAGAUGAGGGCCAGAUAGUGAAGGAAUUUCAAUGAGAGAAAAAAUGUGUUUUGACUUUACUCAAUAUAGGUUUUGAGAACCUUUAGCACAUGUCUUGAAUAGAAAUGUGAUGCUGUUGCAAAGAGCUUACAGUAGCUCAGGGGUUCCACCAUUACCCAAAUAAUCAGGCAGUGUUCCUGGAAGUAUAGUAAGGAGGACACUCUGACACAGGCAGCCCCCUAGUAAUGGGAAGAGGAAGAGGAAGAGGAAAUGGAUCAAAGAGGAAGGAUAAUGUCUGAUUUUUCUAACUACGUGAAAUCUUAAAAGACUUUCUUUUUCUCUUUCUUUUUUUUUUUUUUUGUGAGACAUGGUCUCAUCCUACCACCCAGGCUGCAGUGCAGUGGCACGAUCUUGGUACACAGCAACCUCUGCCUUCCUGGUUCAAGGGAUUCUUGUGCUUCAGCCUCCCAAGGAGCUGGGAUUACAGGAAUGCAAGGGUGGCUUAGCAUUUGAGACCAGCGACUUCUUGAGUCUAGGAGAUGGAGACAGGAUUCUGGGGAGACCAAGGUGGCUAGAGUGCAGAGCAGAGGAUUCGAGGAUGGACCAGAUAGUCGCAGAGUCCUGGGGAGUGUUCAGCAGCUUGCUGAUCAGGUAUGU